GGGCGCGUGGUGUAGCCCGGUCAACACGUCCCCCUGUCACGGGGAAGAUCGCCGGUUCAAAUCCGGUCGCGCCCGCCU
rnacentral:tRNA from 1 species